UUUCAUAUUCUGGUGUUGAUAUCUUCAAUAAAAACUCACCAGAAGAUGUCAACCACAUCUUCUUCUCUUCCCCUAAUGCGCUUAGGUUAUGGGACAAAAUACUCCCUCCCACCAACUGCGACCACAUCCUCAACAACUGCAUCCCGGCAACUGGAAGGAGUGGUGGAAGAAUCACAGACACAAAGCUUUAGUAACCAUUUGCUGGGACACCCUUCUACCCUACGAUUUAUGGUUUACUUGGAUCACUAGAAACAAUAAUCUCUUCAAUAAGAAGAGGGAUCCCAUCCCUCUUAAAUAGAUAAUUCCCCAGGCUAUGAGCUCAUCAUUCACGACCAUACUCUCCCUCGCAGUAGUGCCACAGUUGAUGUCAAAUGGGUCCACACUAGCAAGGGCAUCUUCAAGCUUAACAUUGAUGGUGCUUUAAGCAUAACCCAGGACUAGGGGGAAUAGAAGAGGUAUUUAGAAACAAUGAUAGACACUAGGUAAUGGAUUCAAUGAGAGUAUUUCCCUCACCACUCCAAUUAUGGCAGAAUUUAGGCUCUUCCGGCCUUAUUAUAGCAGUUGAACAUCACUACCUUGAUCCCCUUGUAAUUGACAGUGACUCGAUUGAAUUAGGCACCAUGCUUACUACAGGUAAUUCAAUUUAUGCAAAUAUAAUCACUGAGUGCAGGUCAUUAAUCAGUGCAUUGGUGCAUCCACCAGUGUGCAAAACAUCUUUAGGGAGGCGAAUGGUGUAGCAGAUUGUCUACCCAAGCAUGCAGCUAGGAUUAGCACUUUCGAGCCACCUACCUUGUUACCCUUUCCACCAGCAGCUGCCCAGGAGGCAAUCGACAUAGACAAUUCAGACACUAUUUUUGUUACACGCAUUAAACUCUCUACUAUUGACCUACCUGUCCGGGCUGUGGUCCAGGAUUCUAAUCCUACUUUUGGUACGAUUGGGGACUCA
rnacentral:lncRNA from 1 species